rnacentral:rRNA from 1 species
UAAGGAAUAUUGGACAAUGGUCGCAAGACUGAUCCAGCCAUGCCGCGUGAAGGAUGACGGCGCUAUGCGUUGUAAACUUCUUUUAUACGGGAAAAAACCCUUGGAUGCGUCCGAGGCUGAUUGUACCGUAAGAAUAAGGAUCGGCUAACUUCGUGCCAGCAGCCGCGGUAAUACGAAGGAUCCAAGCGUUAUCCGGAUUUAUUGGGUUUAAAGGGUGCGUAGGCGGUUUUGUAAGUCAGUGGUGAAAUCUUCGGGCUUAACCCGGAAAUUGCCAUUGAUACUGCAGAACUUGAGUACAUUUGAAGUGGGCGGAAUAUGACAUGUAGUGGUGAAAUACUUAGAUAUGUCAUAGAACACCGAUUGCGAAGGCAGCUCACUAAACUGUAACUGACGCUGAUGCACGAAAGCGUGGGGAUCAAACAGGAUUAGAUACCCCCGUAGUCC